rnacentral:rRNA from 1 species
CUACGGGCCGCAGCAGUGGGGAAUAUUGGACAAUGGACCAAAAGUCUGAUCCAGCAAUUCUGUGUGCACGAUGAAGGUUUUCGGAUCGUAAAGUGCUUUCAACAGGGAAGAAGUUCUGACGGUACCUGUAGAAGAAGUGACGGCUAAAUACGUGCCAGCAGCCGCGGUAAUACGUAUGUCACAAGCGUUAUCCGGAAUUAUUGGGCAUAAAGGGCAUCUAGGCGGCUUGGUAAGUCUGAUGUGAAAAUGCGGGGCUCAACCCCGUAUUGCGUUGGAUACUGCUAGGCUAGAGUAUUGGAGAGGUAGGCGGAACUACAUGUGUAGAGGUGAAAUUCGUAGAUAUAUGUAGGAAUGCCGAUGACGAAGGUAGCUUACUGGACAAUUACUGACGCUGAAGUGCGAAAGCUAGGGGAGCAAACAGGAUUAGAUACCCCGGUAGUC